UUGUAAAAUAAAAGCCCUCUAAGUCUCUAUAUAUACUACACCCUCGAUGCCACUUUUCAGUCAAGGAAGAAUCUAAAAAAUUCACAGCAAUGGCACUAAACACAAAGCAGUCUCCACUCACAACAGUUCAAGCACAGUCAUCGCAGAUCAAGCAAAGGAAGAGAAGAAGGCUGCAGGUAUGCUGUCAGGUGGAAGUAAUUAGAGAUGAACAAGAAUGUCAACAGACGCAAAGGUUAGAGAAAAAUGCCAAGCCACUGCAAUCUCAUCAAUUAUUCCAGCAACUCCGCUUUCUUUAGUGGCUGACUAAACAACCCGGAACCCAACUUGCACUGGUUUCUCUCUAUACAGAAAACCCAUCCCCAGCUUCGCCUCAGCUGGAUGUUUCGAUGAAAACAAAGAGAGCAAAAAGGAUUUCACUCAAACCAUCAACCUCAAUUAGUUGGCUUCCUCCCAUGAUUUCUUUGCCUAGCUCGUCCGUGGCUCAUUAUUUAGUUUGGUCUAGAGAACCAAAAAACCCCGAGCUUUGGUUUCAAUUUGGUUUUUAAACAUUUUGACCAAACUGAAAACUGAAUUUUAGUAGUAAAAAGUAAAGGCUUAUAAUAUUUUGGUAUAUAUACUAUAAAUUUUUUUUAUUUUUUAUUUGUAAUAUAUUUAUUUUGUGCUUGUAAGAGUUUUGUAGGGAUUACUUUUUGCUUGUGUUACUAGUAGCUUAUUUAAAUUCUUGUCUUGU